rnacentral:rRNA from 1 species
UACGUAGGGGGCAAGCGUUGGUCCGGAUUUAUUGGGCGUAAAGAGCGUGUAGGCGGCUUUGCAAGUCCGUUGUGAAAACUCGAGGCUCAACCUCGAGACGCCGGUGGAAACUGCAAAGCUAGAGUCCGGAAGAGGAGAGUGGAAUUCCUGGUGUAGCGGUGAAAUGCGCAGAUAUCAGGAAGAACACCCGUGGCGAAGGCGGCUCUCUGGGACGGUACUGACGCUGAGACGCGAAAGCGUGGGGAGCGAACAGG